GCCCUACGGGGCGCAGCAGUCGCGAAAACUUUGCAAUACACGAAAGUGUGACAGGGCUAUCCCGAGUGCCAUCCGCUGAGGAAGGCUUUUACCCAGUCUAGAACGCUGGGGGAAUAAGGAGAGGGCAAGUCUGGUGUCAGCCGCCGCGGUAAUACCAGCUCUCCSAGUGGUGUGGAUGUUUAUUGGGCCUAAAGCAUCCGUAGCUGGCUGAGUUAGUCCCUUGUUAAAUCCACCGAAUUAAUCGUUGGAUUGCGGGGGAUACUGCUCGGCUAGGGACG
rnacentral:rRNA from 1 species